GGGCGGCAAGCCUGAUCCAGCAAUACCGCGUGUGUGAAGAAGGCCUUCGGGUUGUAAAGCACUUUCAAUUGGGAGGAAAACCUACCGGUCAAUACCCGGUAGCUUGACAUUACCUUUAGAAGAAGCACCGGCUAACUCCGUG
rnacentral:rRNA from 1 species